rnacentral:sRNA from 1 species
GCAGGGUGUGGCAGUGCACACCUGUAAUCCCAGCAACUCAGGAGGCCGAGGCAGGAGGAUAGCAAGUUCAAGGACAGCCUCAAAAACUUAGUGAGACCCUGUCUCAA